UACAGAGGUCUCAAGCGUUGUUCGGAUUCAUUGGGCGUAAAGGGUGCGUAGGUGGCGUGGUAAGUCGGGUGUGAAAUCUCGGAGCUUAACUCCGAAAUUGCAUUCGAUACUGCCGUGCUUGAGGACUGGAGAGGAGACUGGAAUUCAUGGUGUAGCAGUGAAAUGCGUAGAGAUCAUGAGGAAGACCAGUGGCGAAGGCGGGUCUCUGGACAGUUCCUGACACUGAGGCACGAAGGCCAGGGGAGCAAACGGG
rnacentral:rRNA from 1 species